rnacentral:rRNA from 1 species
GAUGAACGCUGGCGGCGUGCCUAAUACAUGCAAGUCGAGCGAACGGACGAGAAGCUUGCUUCUCUGAUGUUAGCGGCGGACGGGUGAGUAACACGUGGAUAACCUACCUAUAAGACUGGGAUAACUUCGGGAAACCGGAGCUAAUACCGGAUAAUAUUUUGAACCGCAUGGUUCAAAAGUGAAAGACGGUCUUGCCGUCACUUAUAGAUGGAUCCGCGCUGCAUUAGCUAGUUGGUAAGGUAACGGCUUACCAAGGCAACGAUGCAUAGCCGACCUGAGAGGAUGAUCGGCCACACUGGAACUGAGACACGGUCCAGACUCCUACGGGAGGCAGCAGUAGGGAAUCUUCCGCAAUGGGCGAAAGCCUGACGGAGCAACGCCGCGUGAGUGAUGAAGGUCUUCGGAUCGUAAAACUCUGUUAUUAGGGAAGAACAUAUGUGUAAGUAACUGUGCACAUCUUGACGGUACCUAAUCAGAAAGCCACGGCUAACUACGUG